rnacentral:lncRNA from 1 species
AAACUGUAUAAGCUCAACUGCACUAACUGGAGCUACGCCCAUAUUAACUGUAAUUCCAACUAUAAAUUACUGUUAUAACUAUAUACAAAUAUAAAUAGGUAAACUUCAAAUACCUUUCCUGUAGUUUCGCACUUUCCCACUUUAGUACCAUGUGGUCUAAAGUAUAUCAAGUUAGUGUCUGUGGUAUUAUUUUUAUUUUUUCGUCAGUUUUUCUAUUAAUAUUUCGUUAAAUUAUAUACAAAAAAAACUUCAGAUACUCCACCUAGAUUUAUCGAAUAUUCACUUUAGUAUCUUUUACUUUUAACUUUGUCACUGAUUUAACGAAAAAAAUUAGUAGAAUCGAUAAUAAAAAGAUAAAAAUGCAACCAUAGGGCAAUAAAUUAAUACACUUUAAAAUACAGGAUACUAAAGUGAGGAAGUGUGAAACCAUAGGGAUGAUAUUUGAAGUUUUCUCAAUAUAAAUUUGACAUUUGGUUAGAUGUAAUUGAAUUUUACUGUUACAGUUGGAAUUGCAUAAGAAAACUCAACUACACUAGUUGGAGCUAAGUCCAUAUAUAUUAACCAUAGUUCUAACUAUAAUAGUUGACUAGAGUAAUUUGAACUCAAAAAUAAACUUACUUUCAUAAUAACCUUUCGGAUAGAAAAUAAAUUUUUU